rnacentral:rRNA from 1 species
AUUGAACGCUGGCGGCAGGCCUAACACAUGCAAGUCGAGCGAGCGGCGGACGGGUGAGUAAUGUAUGGGGACUGCCUGAUAGAGGGGGAUAACUACUGGAAACGGUAGCUAAUACCGCAUACUAUCGGAUAACCCAUAUGGGAUUAGCUAGUAGGUGAGGUAAUGGCUCACCUAGGCGACGAUCCCUAGCUGGUCUGAGAGGAUGAUCAGCCACACUGGGACUGAGACACGGUCCAGAGUCCUACGGAGGCAGCAGUGGGGAAUAUUGAACAAGGGGCGCAAGCCUGAUGCAGCCAUGCCGCGUGUAUGAAGAGGGCCCUAGGGUUGUAAAGUACUUUCAGGGGGGAGGCGUUACCGGCAGAAGAAGCACCGGCUAACUCCGGGCCAGCAGCCGCGGUAAUUC